rnacentral:rRNA from 1 species
AUUGAACGCUGGCGGCAUGCUUUACACAUGCAAGUCGAACGGCAGCGCGGGCUUCGGCCUGGCGGCGAGUGGCGAACGGGUGAGUAAUACAUCGGAAAGUGCCCGGUAGUGGGGGAUAGCUCGGCGAAAGCCGGAUUAAUACCGCAUACGACCUGAGGGUGAAAGCGGGGGAUCUUCGGACCUCGCGCUAUCGGAGCGGCCGAUGGCGGAUUAGCUAGUUGGUGGGGUAAAGGCCUACCAAGACGACGAUCCGUAGCUGGUCUGAGAGGACGACCAGCCACACUGGGACUGAGACACGGCCCAGACUCCUACGGGAGGCAGCAGUGGGGAAUUUUGGACAAUGGGCGAAAGCCUGAUCCAGCAAUGCCGCGUGUGUGAUGAAGGCCUUCGGGUUGUAAAGCACUUUUGGCGGGAACGAAAAGCACUGUGCCAAUACCACGGUUCGAUGACGUUACCCGCAGAAUAAGCACCGGCUAACUACGUG